CGGAAACAUUUUUUACUUUAGUGGCGGACGGGUGAGUAACGCGUGGGUAACCUGCCUUAUACAGGGGGAUAACACUUAGAAAUAGGUGCUAAGACCGCAUAAGCGCCCAGGGCCGCAUGGCCCAGGGUGAAAAACUCCGGUGGUAUAAGAUGGGCCCGCGUCUGAUUAGCCAGUUGGCAGGGUAACGGCCUACCAAAGCGACGAUCAGUAGCCGGCCUGAGAGGGUGGACGGCCACAUUGGGACUGAGACACGGCCCAAACUCCUACGGAAGGCAGCAG
rnacentral:rRNA from 1 species